rnacentral:rRNA from 1 species
GAGACCGGCGCACGGGUGCGUAACACGUAUGCAACCUACCCUUUACUGGGGCAUAGCUCAGAGAAAUCUGAAUUAAUUCCCCAUAAUACAAUUGAAUGGCAUCAUUUAAUUAUUAAAGCUGAGGCGGUAAAGGAUGGGCAUGCGUUGCAUUAGCUAGUUGGUGAGGUAAUGGCUCACCAAGGCUACGAUGCAUAGGGGUUCUGAGAGGAUGAUCCCCCACACUGGUACUGAGACACGGACCAGACUCCUACGGGAGGCAGCAGUAGGGAAUAUUGGUCAAUGGACGCAAGUCUGAACCAGCCAUGCCGCGUGCAGGAAGACGGCCCUCUGGGUUGUAAACUGCUUUUAUAUGGGAAGAAACCUCAUUAUGCGUAAUAAACUGACGGUACCAUAUGAAUAAGGAUCGGCCAACUUCGUGCCAGCAGCCGCGGUAAUACGAAGGAUCCAAGCGUUGUCCGGAUUUACUGGGUUUAAAGGGUGCGUAGGCGGACUUAUAAGUCAGUGGUGAAAGCCUUCAGCUUAACUGAAGAACUGCCAUUGAAACUGUGAGUCUCGAGUUCGGUUGAGGUCGUUGGAAUGUAACAUGUAGCGGUGAAAUGCAUAGAUAUGUUACAGAACACCAAUUGCG